CCUGCAUCUCAACCCACUAGUAAAACUCUCUCUUAUUUCAUUCAAAUUAAUCAAGGAUCCCAAACUUGAUUUUUAUAUUUCUAGAGUACAUAGGAGACACCGUGCUUUUAUGUGUUGAACUUCGCAUAUAAUUAAGGCCGGACUCCGUUUGUCAUGUAUCUUGUUGUGUUUCUUAGUGGCGGCUCCAGGAUUGUUUAAGAGGAUGUUCAAAAAUGACUUUAACUCUAUUCCCUCUAUGAGAAGUAGAAUAUACACAAAAUUUCGUACUCCUUAUGUCCUAAAAUGAUAGUUCCCUACGAAAGAACCUACACUUUUUGAAUCAGAAAAUAAAUAUUUGCAUUCAAAAUUUUUCAAAUUUUUCUGCACCAAAUUAAAGAACUAAUUGAAAUCUUUAAUUAACUCGAAAACUCAUGUACGAAAAGUAUUUUAUUUGUUAUCCGAAAAUUGUAUUUAAGUGUUCGAUUAUAAUUUACUUGAAUCGGGAUCGAUGAGUGUUUAUUCAUAUUUGGACUGGAUGUUCAAAUGAUGAAUUAACCCGCAAUAGUGAAAACAGUUGACCAGCAUUGAUAGAAGGAACCCAUAAUUAUGCAGGCCUGACAUUGACAUGAUAAGCCCCAAAGGGUAGGUUAAUACAUGAAGGAAGAUGCCAUUGCCCAUGGCACGGCCAUGAUUGUUCCUUUGAAAAGGAACUUCCCAUUCUCAACAGUUAGCGCCCCAAAUCAUUGAGAACUCUCCCUAUCUUGACUUUGACACAUCAUUGAGUUCUGCUCGCAAGACACACCCAUCACACAUAAUUACUAGUAGUAUUAUUAUCAGCAAGACCAUUCUCACCGCUCGAUAGAAUAACCCUUUUGAUUUAGAUAUAUGCUGCUAAUAAUGUAUGUAACAUAUAUGAUAAACAAGUGAAACCCAAUUUCGAUUGAUGUAGAAACCUGAUUCAAUUAAUUCAACGAUUAAUGUAAUGAAUCACCUCUUCAAAAAAAAAAUCAAGCGACGAUUCAUUAUUGUCGUAUCACGUUUCAAUUAUUGGGUUCUAGAUAUUUUCUGUUGGCCUACAUUAUAUUAUCUGAUCAUAAUAAUAACUCUUCUCAACCCAUCAUCAGCUUCAUGAUUUUGAAUAUAUAUAGAAGUGUACGCUCUGGCCUAAAUCGUUAAAUAAAAAUGGCAUAAAAAAUCUACUAGUAAUAUAUUGUGGCCGACUUUAAUGCAUUGUUGCUGAUGUGUGUUAUGGGUUGUUUCUUCCAGAAUUAAUUAAAUUUUCCUAUUUUCUUUAGUGAUUUUCUUGUUAAUGUCUUUCUGCCUAUGAAUUAACUUCUUCUUUCAGUUGGCUUUCUUCCUUCCAAAAUUAUAAGCUUUCCUUUUUCUAGGUAAGUUACAAAACUAGUAGAAGUUGUUUUAAUCCAUCGAUCAAUUUUCUUCAAAAAGUUUACAAACACAACUCCGAACAUAACUGUAUUUGAAGCCGUUUGAUACAUGUGGACCUAGGGCCAGUCGUAGGAUGAAGGUGGAGGUAAGACCGCUUUAGGCCUCCAAAUUUUAUGCAAAAGUUGAGGCCCCGUUUUUCCGUACCACACAUUUAUAUAUUAAAAAACAUUAGUUGUUCUGUAUUUCGGUGCAACAUGUGUUUUGGCCCAAGUGUUCUGUGCAAACCCCAUAAACCAAGGGUUCCCCGGUUCAAAUUCUAGGAGGUCUCUCUCGGCAAACUUUUUAUUUUUAUUCUCCCCGGUUCAAAAUCCUAGAAUGUUUACCAUAUUUUUCUUUUGUGUGCUGGAAUCGGACUUUGGAUUGGUGCUGUGCAGUGGUAUGCGCAGCACCGUCAUGCGUACCUUCGAGCCAUUGUAUCGUACAUCCGACGACUCGAAUCUCAUCUCGGCAACCAACGAUCGAGAGCCGUCCAUUGUCGAGAUGAGAUCCGAGCCGUCGGAUGCACAGCACCAUCCCCCAAUUGGCUAGAAUCAUGCACUUGAAUUCCUCCCUAACUCUUUAAAGCCUACAACAAUAGGAAUCCGCACAGUUGGAAAUAGCAUUCUAAAAAUGGCCAAGAUCCAGGUUGUCCAAAAUACCAAGAAUAAUAAGACUUUGUUGUCUCCUUCCUUUUUUCUGUAACUACAGUAAAAAGUUUGACAAACAUUUUUAAUUGAUCUGAGUUGGCCUUAUCAUUUACUUUCACGCAACUAAUAGCAUCACCAAUGAUUCUGCUAUUUUCAGGGUGCCAAAGCCAAAUUUUGGCAUGCUACAAAUUUUUUUUUUUUUUUUUUGGGGCUUGGGGCCAUAAUUUGGCCAAAGUGUUCCAAUGGUGGGAGAGCCAAAAUCUGGCCGUCGUUCUCAACUACCUUCUAACAACACUUUUUUUUAACUAAUACUAUCUUUUGAAAUAUCAAUUGACUUUUUUAUAUACUUUAACUAUUGUUUAAUCACAUUCUAACCACGAUUUUAUGGUUCUGCCUAAUUUUUUUAUCUACCUCCCUCGACCUAAUUUUACUGGUUGUACAAAAUUUUACUGGAUUCUAGUUCUUUGUGCACCCUUGGAUUACUCUCUAGCAAGUCCCAACCACACUGGAUAUAUUUAAACCCUCCUUGUUUAUAACAUAUAUCAGUCCAAUGUAGAAAACUUUGUUCUCUCUCACACCAUUUUAUCUCACUCCAACAAAACUCUCCUCCAUCUUCUCUCACACACCGAUCUGAUCUCUCUCUCUCUCUCUCUCUCUCUCUCUCUCUCUCUCUCUCUCUCUCACCCCAAUUUGUCUAUAAUCACUUGCAUUCUCCGGCUACUAAUUUGGGAAGGGAACUGAUUGGCCGAAAGGAGGUCUGAUGAAUAGAGCAAAGAUCUGGCUUUUGUUUCCAAUUUAUUGAUUUCUUGGAAGUAAGGGAAGAGGUUGGAAGUAUAGUCAUGGGCAACCAAUACGCCGCGGUUCUCCGCCUUCUUCGCCGCCGCCUGAAUUCUCUGAAUUUCAGGGACAUUCCCAUACAGAACAGAGGGCUGAGGACCUCUGAUCCCUUGCUUUUGGAGCUUCCACCGGACCCUCUGAGGCUUCAGCCACACACGGUCGAAGAGAAGGCAAGCCAGAGGCAGGGCUAGAGCCAACAAAGACAAGUUUUGCACCACACCACCGCCUACGGCAAGAAGAGGAAGAAGAAGAAGAAGCAGCAGCAGAAUAGGGGCCUCCAUUAUUUUGGCUCUAUUGCUUUGGUUUGUAUUGGGACAUGUAUUACACUU